AGCUUUUUGAAUCCGUGCUGAGAUUUCGCCAGACAUUAACUGAUUACGGCUGGUCAGGCUUCCAAGAUAAAUGAAGUU
rnacentral:pre_miRNA from 1 species